rnacentral:rRNA from 1 species
UACGAAGGGGGCUAGCGUUGUUCGGAAUUACUGGGCGUAAAGGGCACGUAGGCGGCCAUUCAAGUUAGGUGUGAAAGCCCUGGGCUCAACCUAGGAAUUGCACUUGAUACUGUUUGGCUUGAGUUCGGGAGAGGUGAGUGGAAUUCCCAGUGUAGAGGUGAAAUUCGUAGAUAUUGGGAAGAACACCAGUGGCGAAGGCGGCUCACUGGACCGACACUGACGCUGAGGCGCGAAAAGCGUGGGGAGCAAACAGGG